rnacentral:tRNA from 1 species
AAAAUCCGUUGGUUUACGAAACUGUGAGGGUUCAAGUCCCUCUAUCCCCA